CCUACGGGCGGCUGCAGUGGGGAAUAUUGGACAAUGGGGGGAACCCUGAUCCAGCCAUGCCGCGUGUGUGAAGAAGGCCCUCGGGUUGUAAAGCACUUUCAGUGAGGAAGAACGCCUGGUGGUUAAUACCCAUCAGGAAAGACAUCACUCACAGAAGAAGCACCGGCUAACUCCGUGCCAGCAGCCGCGGUAAUACGGAGGGUGCGAGCGUUAAUCGGAAUUACUGGGCGUAAAGCGCGCGUAGGUGGCUUGAUAAGCCGGUUGUGAGAGCCCCGGGCUCAACCUGGGAACGGCAUCCGGAACUGUCAAGCUAGAGUGCAGGAGAGGAAGGUAGAAUUCCCGGUGUAGCGGUGAAAUGCGUAGAGAUCGGGAGGAAUACCAGUGGCGAAGGCGGCCUUCUGGACUGACACUGACACUGAGGUGCGAAAGCGUGGGUAGCAAACAGGAUUAGAUACCCGAGUAGUC
rnacentral:rRNA from 1 species